rnacentral:lncRNA from 1 species
UAUUAUCUAGUUUCUUUUUUCUUCUUAACACGAUGUCUCUGGUCUUCACAAGGUACAGUACAAGGUAACCACUGAAUGUAUAAGAAAAAAAACUGAAUAAAAAAAAUAGUAACCACUAAUUUUCAAUCCAAAAAAUCAUUUCAGUGUAUAUUAGUUCAUUUGAAGAUAAAAGUACUGAUGCAAUAAACAAAUGAGUUCAUUUCAGUGUAUAUUAGUUCCUUUUUCUUUCAAAAAACUGCUCUCUGACUGCAUUUGAAAGACAAACUAGAUGCACUGCCACACUUAAUUAACUGAAAAAUACAAACGGGUUGCGCAUUUAUGUAAAACCCGAACACAAACUUUUGAGAAAUAUAAAGUAGGGGAAUACAACUUAUUUAUAUAUAGGUGUGUAGGAAACAGACGAAUCCUAUCUUUUUUGCCAUGUCACCUACGUGUUUUUGUGGUAUAUAUAUCAUGACAUGAUCAUCAUCUUAACAAAUGGAGCACCUUUCUAAUAAUAUAUAGCCUUAGAACUAGGUCUCCAAGAUUAAUUGUGCCUGUUAUUUUUGCUGCGACGGUGCAGAAAACACUUGGUUAUCAAUAAGAAAUAUACAAGUGCUGCUAGUAGUAGCACUGGUACUAGUCGUAUAACAAAAUAAGGUAUAGUAUUGGUUGGAUACUUGAAGACCGACUGUGGUUUGAAAGGGGGUGGUGGGCCGGGCUUGCUAGGUUGGUCGGACUCGACAAGCUUUGGAGGGAUACUGAUCAGGGAAAGGAACAGAACUAGUAUGGCAGUGUAUGAAAUCUUCAUAUUCAUCAUAGCCUUGUAAUAUUGAACCUAUAUGCACACAAACAAUGUGCAAAUGCUUUUUAUAUGUAGUACUAUCCGGGUCUACGACCUAGUAUCAAAAUUUUUCUUAGUUGUCACUUGUCAAUAUGCAUCACAAAUUGUAUUAACAUAUAUAUGCCAACCUACCACAAAAGGCUAGUUAAAUUAUUGAGAACUAGUUGUCUAGUUAAUCGAAGGUUCCAUCAAGUGGAAAACGAAAAAGAACCUUUAUUUGAUCAGGUCUGCCUCCAAGAGUGGAUCAUAAAAUAGCAAUUUAUGUAGAGUAAAUUACUAUGACAUCCCAUCAUAAGGUGGCUGACAAGCUUUGCUUUAUCAUAACCACCUAAUUAAGUUUCCCACUCAAAUUCAAAUAUAUAAAUAAGGCACCCACAAGUAUGAAUACCAACUCUAAUUUCAUUACACCCUCUAAGACUUAAUUAACUGUCAGAGUAUUUUUAAGUAUAACACCUAAUGUCGUGCUCUCCCAUCUGAAACCAAGAUUUGUGUUGAAUCUUCAUCGUGAUAAUGAUUUGUGAUUCUUCUAUACAACAUUUGGAUCGACUAAUUACUUCAACGUAGAUUCCAAAAGAAUGUCAAGUGAUUGAUACUAGGAAGGGAAAUCUGCUUCUCAAUAAUGGGUUUCAUUCCAAGCUACUUCAUGAGUAAGCCCUUGGUGUAGGUGAAAAGAAAAAAAUGAAAAAGAUAGGAUUUGCUAAAAUGUAAAGGUUGCUGUAAAGAAAAACGAUAAAGAAAGUGGUAAAAGAAAGAUUGUAAAGGAAAUCUUUAAAUGAAAGUGAUAAAAGAUAGAAAUUGCAAUGAAAAGUGAUAAAAUGAGUUCAUAAUAAAAUAGACUUGUGUUGUUAAUUUUGAAGUAGAGAAGGCCUAUCUAUAGGCUGAAAACUCAAAUUCUCUACUAAAUCACAUUUUUCUUGACUUGCUAACUACCGUGAACAUGAUUUGGGAGUCACUCAACUAAUUUUACAUUCAACCAGCUAAUUUUGACUGACAUAUUGCAAAAAAAAUCAUUAUUAUCAAUGAAGAAAAUCUGUAGGAGAUUGCCAAAAUUCAUGGGAAACAUAUAAUUACCGACAAAUUAUCUAAACGAAUAAUUCAUAGGUAAUUAAUGUUAUCAUGUACCCACAGAUAAAUUUGUAGGUAAUAUCUACACAUUUAUCCGUGGGCAAGUAUCGACGAAUAUAUACAUGGGAAACUACUUUGGUAAAUUACCGGCAAAUAUAACACCUUCUGAUAACCUCUUCUAUAUUCUAGGCAUGUUCUCUUCUUCCACAAACCAGUUGAUAUGCAUUUCAAAUUUUAAACAAACUAGAAAUUGCUUCAUAUUUUAAAUGGAGCAAUAUCAUUGAUCUGCUACAAGUAAUUUGUUUAUCAUAAAAGCAUGGAAAUAUUACCUUAUCAUAAUUAAAUUAAAUCUGACUUAGAUCAUCUUUUUUUUUUUUUUUUUUAACUAUGCUAACCAGUGGAUUUCUACAAUGCAUUUUGAAUUUCAAACUGCUGCAAAAUAUGCUUCCUAUUUUUAAGGAACCAUGAUCUUUAUAUGUCUUUGAACAACUAAUUGCAUAUAUGAAACCCAAAUAUUAUUGAAAAAAACAUCUUGUUUUAUCAUAUUAAACUAGUUUAAUUAUCAUAAGCAUGUUAAGAGCAAGAGCAAGAAAAAGACCACAGUCCCUAAACUAGUUUAAUUAUCAUAUGAAACCCAACUAAUUGCAUAUUCAUGUGUAUUUGUCUUGUUUGUCUGUAUGUACUGAGUUGGCCUCCCAGGGAGGGAGGAUGACUGCCCUCAGUCCCUCAACUGCUAUGGUGCAAGCACUUUAGUCAUGAGUUGGCUUCCCAAGGAGGGAUGCGUCCCUCAAGUUCUAAGGCUGUUAAAGACUUAAAACACUUAAGUCAUGAAUCAACCUCUAAGGAGAGAGAGAGAGAUUGACGUAAUAUUUUGUAAUUUUAACUAUAUGUUAUUGUCCUUGAAUGACAUCACUUAAUUGAUACUGCAUUAUUAUGUUGAUGCAUUAUUAUGUUGAUUGAUAUAUAUAACAUGAAAGUCAAAAUUAGUAUAAGAUAUCCAACUAGUAAAGGAUGUAGGGUCCAAACAAUUUUUUAGUGUAAUGACCUCUGAAGUCCGGAUACGUGAAAAAAGAAAAAGUAUCGGUGUCGCACCCGUAUCCGACACCGAUAUUUCACGGAUACCGCCGGAUACAUAUCCUUGGAGUAUCCAUUUUUUUUUUUUAAAAAAUACAAGAUAUGACUGGGAUAUGGCUUAGAUACGAUUUUCUAAGGCUAGACACGGCUUCAAUACGACUCCUAUACGGUUCGAAUACGACUACAACGUUUAACCCCCUUUUUUUUAUGAUUUUUUAAAUGCAGAAGCUUUAUUAUUUUACAAAACUCAUUUGCUUCUCUUCUUCUCCACACUUACGAAGCUCAAACCCAUUUUCUUUUCUUCUCCACACUACUUGGCAAAACACUAUACCAAGUUGAAAGUGUUAUAACGUAAUAAAACUUACCUCUUCACCAAUCACAACUCAACUCCUCCUGUAACAACAAUUAUUUUCUCUCUAUGAUAAUUUUGAUAGGUGCGUUGGUGAGGAAGGAAUUGUUUUGUUCUGUUCUGUUCAAGUGUUGCUCCCAAAGGACCUGUUCUGCUAAUGCACUCUUACAGGUUUUAGAUUUAGAAAUUAUUACGCUUGAUUUAUUUUACAGGUGGAUUCUUUCGGAUUAUAUUUUGACUCGUUUUAAUCUAGUUUAAAAUUUAAUAUAUACUUUGACUUAAUUAAUGUUUUAUAUAACAUCUUAUUAUAUCUAUAUUUAUAUUAUUUAUGUUGAAAUAUAUAUUAUAAAAGUUAUUUUCUUUUAAUAAAACUUAAUAAAAAGUUAAAAACUGAUUUUCCUAACAAAUGCAAGGAUGAAUGAUAUUUGUAACAAUCUGUUUCAUGUUAAAAAAUGUUAAUGGGAUUUUAGGAGUUUUGUAACUAACUACUAAAUGAUUGACGUAGUCUCCUCUCACUUUACAAAAAUUAAGCUUAUAUUCUACAAAAAAAAUAAAAAUCAGUAAAGCAUACAUAUAAUUGGAUUAAUUUCCCUUAAAAUUUGAUAAGGUACCUUGCCACUUAACGAUCAAAGAUACUUCUGUGAAUUUGGAGAAAGAGCUCACGAGGUAUUAAUGGAAGAACAGAGUUAAUAAUAUUUUAUCAACACAUCUAAAACGUAUCGUAUUUUUAAUUUUAAAUUUUUUUCGUAUUUUUAUGUCUAUAUCAUAUCGUAUCCAUAUUGUAUCUUGUAUGUAGGCUUCAUACGUAAUGAUAAGUUUUAAUUGGUGAACUGGGAUUCCAAUAUGUGAGAAAUAACAAAUUUUUUGACUUGGUCAUUAUAUAUAGGUACACAAAAAUGAUGUUUUAGUCUAUUUGUUCCUUCUUUUCGGAAGGAACAAACUUACUGAAGAUCUAUCGUAAGCAUUGUUAAGGGAAGAAAUAGAUUAAGUCCCAAUAGACUUUACCAAAUUUGAGCUCAGUCGAUCUAUUUUCUAAACUUAAAGUCUGAUGAGUGUAAAUACUAGUUUUUUUUUUCUUUCUUAAGACUUAACCUGACACUUUUAAAAUGGUACGUGGUUUACCUUUGUAACGUCUAUUUAAAAUUUCAAAGUCUACUUAAUAUAUUAAAACCCAUGUAUAAGUUUUAAAACUACCUCUAACAUAUUAAUAAUCCUAAAUAUAAAAUCUGUAGGUUGGUAAAUAGACUAACAAGUGUAUAAUUUUAAAAUGUUAUACAUAUAUCAACUAUAGUCUAGCUUUAAAAAAUUUAAUUAUAAUGAAAGAUAAAUUAUGAUGUUAUAAAAUUAGAGAGCAUAUUCAAUUAGGAUUUUAAAGGAUUUUUUUUUCAUAAAAAAGUUUAGAGGUAUUCAAUCAAGUUUUUUAAAUAUUAGAUAUAAGUCUUAUAAUAUUCAAUCAAGACUAUUAGACUCUUUUAAAGAAUUCAAUAAAAUUCGUUGAUAUUCAAUUGAGAUUUUUUACAACUUAAAAAAAGUCUUUUGGUGUUCAAAAACAUAUAGAUUUUGAUUGAUUAUUUUUUGUGAGAAUUUUAAUAGAUUUUAUGAGACCUUUUAGAAAAUAUACAUUAAACAAUCUUACCAAAAUCAUUAAGAUUUUAUGAGAGUUUCUUUUUUUUUUCCUGCUAAUUGACAUGUUUUUCUUUCUCUAUCAUACAUAAUCCCUUGUCUCUAUGUUGAAAGUGGUAGAUAUUUGUAAUUUUUGUUGCUCUUUCGACCCAUGAACAACAUGUCCUAGAACGAGUUUAAGGUUUUUUUGCAUAAGAUGAGUUUUAUUUAAAGUGUUAGGUGAAAAAAAUUUAUGAAUCUUUAUCAAUAAUUUUUAAUAUUUUUUAUAAAUUAACGAAGUUUUUAACAUCUUAAAAAUCAUGCAAGUUAACUCCCUCGUUGGUCCUUUUUCACCCUAAAAUAAUUUAGAAUACAAUGUGGAUUUUAUUUAUUUAAUUAUUCAUAUCUAUUCUAUUUUGAUAAUGAUUAAUAUUUUAGUAAAAUUAAUGAAAAUGUGCUUGGCACUUAAAGGGAUUUUAAUUAUUUAAUUAUUCAUAUCUAUUCUAUUUUGAUAAAGAUUAAUAUUUUAGUAAAAUUAAUGAAAAUGUUGUGAAUUAGUAAUAUUUUGGCACUUAAAGGGAAUGGUCCCAUGCUCAUCCUAUGUUUCUUGGAGUGAUUGAGAACGGUUCCGUAAUUUUUGUAAAAUAUUGUGAAUUAGUUAAUUUUGUUUAUUAUCUAAAAAAAACUUUAAGGAUUUCUAAAUUUUUGUUACAACUUAUAUGUCCUAUAAUGGAAUAUUAUACCGAAGCCAUUCCUUAAAACAUUUAUUUCCACAAAAUAUUUUUAUUUUAAGGAGCUUUAAGAAAUCAAAAUGCCACAACCUGUGCCUUAAAACUCUAAACUAGGGGGUGGGGUUAUGUCACAUUUAAUAAACAUUUUGUCCAUUCAACAUCACAUCAUUAACAAUAAUUUAUUAAAUUAUAAUUUUUUUAAUAUAUAGUUAUAAAAAAAAUAUUUUUUAAAUUAGGACAACAAGUUGACACAACUUUCCAGUCCAAUUUGCCUUGGUAGAUGGCAAGAUUAGGGAGUUUGGCCUACAGGUCAACUGGUCAUCAGCCCAUGAAUAUUAUAAUUUUAGGAAAGUAGAAAUUCAUUUUAGCAAUUGGUUUGCUACAUUGGGAAUUCAAAUAUUAGGUUGAUGUACCAGCAAUAUUUAGUAAUCAGUAGUGUCAUUUUCCCCUGUCGUUUUAGUUAUUUAGCUUUCCAUUAAUCAUUUUACUUGUGCUUUAAUUUUUAAUAUAUCUACUAUAUUAUUAAAUCUAGUAAGUUAUUAACAAGUUACUAAAUGAAAAUAAAAAUAAUUUAGAUUUUUUAUUUUUAAAUUUUUUUUAGUUAAUUUAAUAGUUUUUGUCCGCUGCCGAACCCUUUCUUUUUUAAGGCAAAUAUUAUUAUAUUAUAUAUCAAAAGAAGUUUACAUGAAGGGAGACGUACACUAAGGCACUAUUUAUUAUUUAAUUUUUAAAAAAUAAUCAUUUCUCUCUCCUUUUUCAUACCAUUAAGUUUUUAAAUACUCUCAUUUUUUUCCUUUCUAAACAUUAAAUUAUCAAUCUCUCUUAUCUCUCAUUUAUCAUCAUUUAAAUAGAACAAAUAUUAUUAUUUUUUAAAUAAAUCUAAAUCAGUCAAAUUUAUUGUUUUUUGAAUAAAUAUAUAAUGUAAUUUAAUGUUGAAAUAGAAAAGUUGAUUGAUAAUUUAAAAGAGAAAAGAGAAGAUUGUCUAAAAAUUUAAUGUUAAUAGAAAUGAGAGAGGAGAAAGAAAUGAUUGUUUUAAAAUUGAAUCAUAAAUUAUUAUAAUAACUUUAAAUUAAAUCUUACUAACAUAAAAGAAUUUAUUAUUUUUUUUGUCUAAAUAUUUAUAGUGUUGGUUGAUAAUACAUUCAUAAAAAAAUAUGUUUGCAUUAUCAUUCAUAUAUAUAUAUACACAAAAGUUUCACCCAAAAAUCAUAUACUAACAACUGAUCCCAUUUAAAUUUGGGUGACGUGUGAUAAACACAAGUCAAGAACAUAAAAAUGAGUAAAUGCAGGCAAACGGGCGUGGACGAAUCUUAAUGAGUAAAUUACACUACUUAUUAAGAUUUUAUGAAAUUAUAUAAACACUUUGUAGUACUUUUUAAUCAAUAUAGUAAUCUCUCUUAUAAAAAGUGUUAGUGUAAAAUUUGAAAGGAUAUCAAGGGAUGUUAAUGUAAUGUUUUCAAAUAUUAAGAAACUGUUAGUGUAAUAUAAUCAAACAGAGGUUAAUGUAGGAAUACAAAAUAUUACGUGUAAUAUAAUUUGCUCAAUCUUAAUAUUGUUGAAUUGGUCGUUUACCGCCUUAUAUGUUCUAACAACUAUACUACCUUUAUUCAAUUCUUAAUUAAGCAGCAUAUGAAUCCUAAUUAUUAUAUCUUGUUAUUUUCUUUAUUAUAUAUCACAAUACUUAAAUUUAAUUUGUGGAGUUAGUACCUAAGCCUUGCUAGUUACUAUAAUAUUUAGUUAUCCAGGUCAAAUGUUGUAUUUCACGUGGGGGUUAGGAUAUUCAUUGAUGUGGAUAGAUUUAAUGAUCCUCUUGAACUCAAGUAAGAAAGGUAAAAGAAACUUAAAAGCAAGACCAUAACUACAACAUGCAGGUAAAAAUUAUCAAAGAAUGCAUGACUCUUAUUGUGUCCCGUCCGUAAAACUAACACUCUAAAAUUCUUAAUUAAUCCAAUGACAAACGACAAACUCUCACAAUGAAAAAAAUAUUCAAAUUCAAUAUUUUCUCACUACUAGAAAAUAUGUUCUUUACAUAAGUUAUUUAUGACUUUUUAUUAACCGAUGUUGAAAAUAUUAUUGUUAACAUUGAUUUUUUAAAACUAAUGUUAAUGUAAAAUUCACAACAUCGGUUUUUUAAAUAACCAAUGUUAUAUAAUAAUAGUUACACCAAAAAUAGGUAUCAAUGUUCAUAACAACUUUGGCCGUUAAAAUCGGUUUUGGUUUAAAACCGAUGUUAACGGCCAAUGUUAAUAUCGGUUUUAUAUAAAACCAAUGUUAACUGAUACGUUAACAUCGGUUUUUUUAAAAAACUGAUGUUAACGUAUAAGUUAGCAUCGGUUUUUGUAGAAAACCAAUAUUAACGCUUUAAGAAGUUAACAUCGGUUUUUUAAAAAAUCGAUGUUAAUAUACACAAACAAUAUUGGUUUAUUCAAAAACCGAUGUUAGCAUUGUUAGUUAAUAUCAGUUUUUGGAAAAAUUGAUGUUAUUUCUAUAUAUUAACAUUGAUUUUUUUUUUAAAAAAUCGAUAUUGUUAUUAGGAAUUUUUUUUAAUAGACUGUCUAUUUUUUCAAUAAACCCAAAAAUUAACCUGUAAAUUUUUCAAAUCAGACAACACAACACAACAUAUAUCAUUUGUAUUCUGCUUUCACUAUUAGAAAAUAUACUUUUUACAUCGGUUAUAUAUGACUUUCAACAUUGGUUAUUUAAAUAACCGAUGCUAUAUAAUAAGAAUUACACCAAAAAAGGUAUCAAUGUUCAUAUCAGCCUUGGCAGUUAACAUCAACUUUAUAUAAAAUCGAUGUUAAUUGAUACGUUAACAUCAGUUUUAUUGAAAAACCUAUGUUAACUUAUACGUUAACAUCGGUUUUUGUAGAAAACUGAUGUUAACAUCGAUUUUUUUUUUAAAAAACUAAUGUUAAUAUACACAAACAACAUCGGUUGUUGAAAAAUCGAUGUUAACUUAUAUGUGAACAUCAAUUUUUUUGGAAAAACUGAUGUUUCAAUUAACAUCGGUUAUUGCAAAAACCGAUGUUAACGAAAGCGUGGUGACAUUUUUAUAAAUAAAUGGAGUUACUUAACAUCGGUUUUCUAAAAACCGAUGUUAACUACUUAAUGUUAACAUUGGUUAUUUAAAUAACCGAUGUUAAGAUGAAUAUGUUAACAUCGGUUUUGGAAAAACCGAUGUUAACUUCAUAGAGUUAACAUCGGUUUUAACAAAAUCGAUGUUAAGCAGUUGAACUGAACAUCGGUUUUUUGAGAAACCGAUGUUACCUUGUUGAUGUUAACAUCGAGUUUUAGAAAACCGAUGUUAACAUAUUCAUCUUAACACCGGUUAUCCUUAAAAAACCAAUGCUGUUAUGUUAAUAAGUUAAAACAUGUUGAAAUUUCACAACUCGUGUGCUUGAAAACCCUGCACUCUUUCUUCUCUUUCUCCUUCCACUUGAAAUAUGUCGAAAACCGCUCGCUCGACACCCAUAUUGCCCCACAUUGAUUUCAAUACUACCGGAAACCGCUCGCUGGAACCCACAGAACCCCUUAUCGAAGAAAAGUCGAAGAAAACCCUACACUACUCUUGGAACUGUGGCUCGAGGAAAACCCUACACUCCUCCGCUAGGUACUAGAGUGAUGAAACAAUUGUGGGUGCUCAAAGCUCAAAGCUUUCUACGCUGCCAGUUAACAAGGUAGGAGUUCUACCUUAGUUUGUUGCUCUUCUUAGUGAGUUCUUAAUCAGUGCGGUGGGAUUGUCCGAAGGUUCUUAUCAAAUUAUUCGGUCAUUUUUUCCACUUGGCUAACCAUAUAAAAGUAUCAAUAAGAAUUCUAAUGUGGGGUUUCAUUUUGUUGUGGUAGUUGAUUGUGCUUUACGUGGUUUUCAAGCUUGACGAGAGUUACACGCCAAGCAAAGUUUCCAUCCGUGCCGGUGAUGGUUUUCACAACUUGAAGGUAAAUUUUUAUUUUAUUGGUUUGGGUUUGAUUGGGAUGAUUAUGGUUAAUUAUUUGGUGUUAACUUUGGGAACAUUUUUAGGAGAUUAAGACUGUGGAACUUGUGAAGCCAACUGGGUGGGUUUAUCCAUCCUUGUCUGGAGUUGAUCCUAGGUAAGUACAGUGCUCUUUUUGUUUUGCAAUAUGAGAAUUUGUUUAUUGACUGUUCUACCAUCGUGUGAUUUUGGUCUCUUUUGCCUAAUUAUGCUCUGUCUGUAGCUGAUUGUGGAUUGUGUUUGUUUUUAAUGGGAGAAACUACAGUAACAAUAGUUUAUUGUAGGGAAUGUGAAGAAACAAAUCCUGCUACUUUAUGAAUUUCCGUUUCAUGAUGUUAGUAUAGUUUGAAACUUUCAAUACGGUUUCGAAAAGUUUUAUGUUGAGGACUUAAUACAAUCCUCCUCUUUUAGUCAAGCUUGAGAUCACAAAGUUAAGGUGUAAUGUGUGAUCCAUGUAAUUGAUCUCACCUAGUAGGAAAAAGUUACUGUUGUUAUUAUUGGAAUGAUGAAAUCGGACCUUCUCCCUGCUUUUGAUCAUAUUGUGUUUGGGGCAUUAUCAGUGGCUACUGCCUAAUGAUCUUCUAAAUCUGUGGCUGAAUUCUUCAUGUACGUUGAGGAGACUUCAAGAGUGAGGUUCUUUUCCUAACAAUAGGCUCUUUCUAUGCCCUCUCUAGUGUUGACUUUGUCAAGGGUGCACACACUUUAGUAGUUGUUUCUUGAAGGGAGUGUGGAUGAGACCAAUUUGAGGUCCAUGCUUGUUUCAUCAAAGAGGUUCAAUAGCACAUUGAAGGUAGAUGAUGAUGGGAAAUUUAAGUCUUGGAGUUUUGGCCCUGCUGGCUUUGCAUUGAGCUUGUUGUGGUCAGAGAUUGGUGGAGAGCCUAUUGUGGUGUUGCACUUUUGGAGAUAGACUUUUCCUGAGUGAAAAACAAUAAACAAAGUUCACCAAUCACAAAACCAUCACAACACAUCCAUCAUAUAAUUUAAUGAAAAAAAAAUUGGUAUAAUGUUUUGAUACUCCUGUUUUAUUUAUAAUUGGUACUACCAAUUAUACCAAAACCAAGUUUAAUGAAAACCAAGGAAAGCAAGCCACAUUUUACCAUGAUAAAAUUAUUCUUGUUAUGAUCUGAAUCAUUAUUAAACAUGGGGAUUUGUAAAACCAAUUAUGAGAUCAAUAACUAACAAAAUUAACAGAGGUGAAUGAAUUAAUACAAGAUACAAAAAACAAAACAAGUUAAUUGGGAGUGAUACAAAAGAAUAAAAUUGGUUAUGAAGGACAUCAAUCCAUUGAGAGAAAGUCAGAAAUGACAUCAUAGCAUCCAUAUCUGAUAAAACACCCUGGAAUAUGGGGAUUCCCAAAGAUAAAAUAAUUUACAUUGCAAAUAUAUCUAACAAGAAGGAAAGACUCUCUCUCUCUCCCGGUUAAUAUUGUAUGUACCUAUUUGCUUCUAAUAAGUUUGUAGGGAGUCAUCUUGUUUAUGUAGACCUUGUGAUUUAAAAUUUCGGUUUGUAAUUUUGUAGUUGAAAACUUUCGAAAAAGUUUGAGAUUUUUAAAACUUUUUUCUUGUCCUAUUACACCUUCUGUACCUUCCUUGGAUUCUACUGCUCCAAAAGAUAACCUUAUUUAAAAGAGCAAAAAAAUAUAACCUUAUUUGACGGUUGUGAUGAUGAUGUGAGCUUCAUGAUGGGUUGUAAUUUUAAUUUUGUUAAGUAUUUUGUAGCUGUGAGAUGCUUCUUUUUGCAUAAUCCAGGUUCUUGGACCCUUGUGCACGAAACUAUGUGCAUUAAAUUGACACAUUAUAGUAUAGAAAUUGAAUGUGCUGUAUGUAAGACUGUUUUUUAGAUAAAUUUCUAUUUAACUGUGUUGCUUGAGUUCGCUUUCUCUUAGCUUUUGAUUUACAUUGUAUGUGGUAGGAAGAAAUUGUUAUAUGCUUCGAAUUUUUAUGAUUUUACUUAAUCUACAUGCCUUAUAAAUAGAGAAGAGAGAAAGGGAAUAAGGUUUGCCAUCUUAAAGAGAUAAGAUAAAAAGUGUGAAGAAGAUGAGAAAGAAAAGAGAUAGAAGAGAUAAGACAUUAAAGCCUUUGAGCUCAUCUCGAUGCUAUUCUUGGAUAAGUGUUUCCCCAACCCUUUUGAAGAUUUUACCUCCAUUAUUUAUAUGUUUUUUCAUUUUAUUUUGCAUCUUGUUAAUGUUGUUAAGAUUACAAUUUUGCAAAUUUGGUCCCUCUAUAAUUCUUAAUCCAGGAUUCUAAUCCUUAUGUUUUUUCUCACGAUUUUGGUCUCUCUAUUUUAAAAAAUUCACAAUUUUGGUCAAAUAUUCAAUUUUGAAUACAUUUAUUUAUAUUUUUUUUUUAUAUAUUUUAAUGAAUUAAAUUGGUUUUUAUGGUAUCUUAAGUUAAUAUGCUGGGUCUAGGGUUUAAUUGGACCAAAAUAAAAGAAAAAACAUGUAAAAUUGAGGAUUUGACCAAAAUUAUGAAAUUUCUAAAAUAGGGGGACCAACAUCUCAAGCGAAAAAACAAGGAGACCUUAAUUACAAAUUAGAAAUUAUAGGAUAUCAAAAUUACAAUUUAGACUUACAGUUUUGAAUGAUUAUCAUAAUUAUGAAUUAUUGGAAUCAUGGAGUAGUUUUGAUGUAAGGGAGAACGACUUAUGUUGUUCAUGGUUAUGAUCAUGGUCAACAAGGUUUUUCCUAUAUCCCAAAUUAGUUGUUUGUACUUAUAUGUUGAUUUCUAUCUAUGUUUCAAUUCAAUUAGACUUGUUGUGAAUACCCCUAAAGCACUCCAAUUGUUGUCAUGAUUUGUUAAAAUUAAAUGCAUGCUUGUGCUUAGUGUUUUGUCUCUUUUGGUGCUUCUUGAAUUGGGAUUGAGGAUUUGUGUAUAAUUUAUUGCAUUCCAUGUAAUUGAAUGAUCAUGAUGUGUUGAAAUGACUCUUUUAUGUGUUAGAAUUGCGAUGGAAAAUGUUAAAGAGUGUUUGGUGAGGUUAGGAAAACUCAAUAAGGAUCUUGGGUUCGCUAAAACCCAAAUCUAAUGUUAUGUGCCUUGUAAUUAGCUAAUUAGCAAGUCUUGGCUUCACUAAGUGAAAAUAGCACAUAGAUAAGGGGAUGUUAUUAGGGGGAAAUCACUACGCAAACCUAAAUUUGCUGGGCAAAUUUGAGAUUCGUUAAAAACCUUGGUGAGUUUUUUGUUAGGUCUCACAUUAGGUGUCUUCACAAGAAAUCGUCAAGCUGUCAAGAUUAGGUGAUGAUCACAUAUUCUUGACAAUUUUAGGCAUGGUAGAUUGUCAAAUUAGGUUUUGAGGUUACCAUAGAAGUUAUAGACAAUUUUUUUAGCUUUCAAUAGAGAUAAAGAUCAACUUGAUAAGGUUAGUAUAUAUAAUUCUAGAUAUUACCCUUACAGUAUACAAUGGUUGCAAUUGCAUAGGAGAAAAUGUGACAAUAUGCUAUAAGAAUCCUAUGAGUAUGAUGUAUGACUAUUACAUGAAAUGCAUGUUACAUUGGCUAUCUACAUUCUUAAAGAAUUGAUGUAGACAACGAAUCAUUGAUAUUUUUGAAAUUAAAUGUAACUGUUAGAAUAAAUCUCUUAACCUGUGAUAUUACAAACUAUAAAAGAAACACAGGUUAUUAAUAAAAUGCGGAAAUUACAGAUCAAAUCAUACCUCCAGCCAUUGCUAUGAAGAGUUUCUUGUUUUGGUUCUUCCAAGCUCUCUCUUCCUCUCUCUAGAUGGUGUAUAAGACUGAAUUCGAAGGGAUGAGCUCAGGGACCAAAUUCAUGUGCUUAUAUAGGCAUUCUACCAUCAAGAAUGCAUUUACUAGCCAUUACCACUCAUUAUUGGUUGUUACAAUUCAUUAGUGGCCAUUACCACCCAUUAACAGCCAUUGAAUUUGGCUUCCAAAACUGACGAGCGUUACAAAUUUUCAAAAUGCUAGGACCAAAUUAUUACAUUCUCCCACUUGGUCCAAACAUUUUGACUUAAUGCUCAAUCUUCAAUCUUCUUAAGAAAUGAAUAUACGAAUCAUAGCGAUAGUUCCUCUUAUAACGAGUAAUAUCAUCCAUGUAUUACAAUAUACUCAAUUUCCCAAGCAAUAUACUCAAAGUGGUAAUAUAACUUAAUGAAUAAACCCAAUGUUUAUUCUUGGUCCAAAACAUAAUUUUUCUCAAAUAAAUCAAUGUGCACCCAAAUAUGAGAAAAUAUCAUAAUAUAAAAUUUUCAAUUUUAACAUAUAAGUAUACAAUCAUAAAGUGGAACCAAGUCCCAUUCUUUCUACAUGAUCCUUAAAUUUAAACGGUGGCAUGCCCUUAGUUAAAGGAUCAGCGAUCAUCAACUCAGUGCUUAUAUGCUCAAUGACCACUUUCUUGUCUUUUACUCUUUCUCUAAUGGCUAAGUACUUAAUGUCAAUGUGCUUACUUCGACUUCCACUUUUGUUAUUCUUAGCCACAAAGACAACAGCUGAGUUAUCGCAAAAAAUUCUUAAAGGCCUUGAAAUAGUAUCAAUUAUCUUUAGCCCAAAAAUGAAACUUUUAAGCCAUACACCAUGUGAUGUAGCCUCAAAACAAGAAACAAACUCAGUUUCCAUGGUAGAAGUAGCAGUCAAAGACUGCUUAACACUCCUCCAUGAAAUAGCUCCACCAGCCAUCAUGAAAAUGUACCCAGAUGUUGAUCUACGAGAGUCAACACAACCAGCAAAGUCUGAGUAUGAAUAACCAAUCACAUCUAGAUUGUCUGUCUGUCUAUACAUAAGCAUGUAAUCUUUGGUCCCUUGAAGGUACCUCAACACUUUCUUAGCAGCUCUCCAGUGGUCAAUACCUGGAUUACUCUGAUAUCUUCCUAACAUUCCAAUUGCAAAAGCAAUGUCAGGCCUUGUGCAUACUUGAGCAUACAUGAGGCUUCCAACAACUUAAGCAUAAGGAAUGUUUUUCAUUUGUUCCCUCUCAAAGUCAUUCUUUGGACGUUGGUUCAAAUUAAACCUAUCACCCUUCACAAUGGGAGCAACACUUGGUGAACAAUCUUUCAUCCGAAAUCUCUCUAGAAUUUUGUUAAUAUAGGUUUCUUGUGAUAGACCUAAAAUACCUCGAGAUAUAUCUCUAUGAAUCUUAAUAUCGAUGACAUAAGAUGCAUCUCCCAUAUCCUUCACGUCAAAAUUCUUAGAGAGAAAUUGUUUCACCUCAUGUAGCAAACCCCGAUCGUUGGCUGCAAGUAAAAUAUCAUCUACAUAUAAAACAAGAAAACAUAUUUUACUCCCAUUAAUCUUGUGGUAUAUGCAUUGAUCCAUGGGGUUUUCAUCAAAACCAAAUGAAGAAAUUAUCCCAUGAAACUUAAGGUACCAUUGAAGAGAAGCUUGUUUUAAACCAUAUAUAGAUUUAUUAAGCUUGCAAACCAAAUGCUCACCACUAUCAGAGGAGAAACCUUUAGGUUGUUUCAUAUAAACCUCCUCCUCUAAAUCACCAUUAAGAAAAGUUGUUUUAACAUCAAUUUGUUGCAACUCAAGGUCAAAAUGAGCAACUAAUGCCAAGAUUAUACGAAGAGAAUCUUUCUUAGAUACUGGAGAAAAAGUCUCUUUGUAAUCUAUUCCUUCCUUUUGAGUAAAUCCUUUAGCAACAAGUCUUGCCUUGUAUCUCUCGAUGUUGCCUAAUGAAUCCCUUUUGGUCUUAAAGGCCCAUUUAUAUCCAAUGACCUUUGCCCCAUUAGGCAACUCUACAAGGUUCCAAACUUUGUUACUCUGCAUAGAAUUCAUCUCAUCCUUCAUGGCAUCAUACCAUAAAUUUGACUCUUUACAACUCAUGGCUUGAUCAAAAGUUUCAGGAUCAUUUUCAGCUCCAAUAUUAUAGUCAGAUUCUUGCAAAUAUACAAUAUAAUCACUAGGAAUAACUGAUUUUCUUACUCUAGUAUACCUCCUUAAUGUUGCAUCAACAUUUUCUUGGGGAUCAUGUUGUUCAACUGGUUGUUCAUCAUUUUAUGAAUUUGAUGAUCAACUUGAUCUACUGGAUUAUCAACAACAGUUUGGGGAAUGCCAAUCAUGUGUUGUUCAUCAUCCCUUUGGACUUGAGGGGUAUGAAUUACAACCAAUCUUUCAUUUGAUGUGGAAGGUUGAGAUUCUAUAUAAUCAAUUUCAGAACCUAAGUCCCUCAAUUGAUCACUCCCACUGAUCAAAUCAUUUUCAAUAAAUUUGGCAUUUCUUGAUUCCACAAUCCUAGUAAUAUGAUGUGGACAAUAAAACCUAUAACCUUUAGACCUUUCGACAUAUCCAAUGAAAUACCCACUAAUGGUCCUCGGGUCAAGUUUCUUCUCUUGUGGGUUAUAUAUUCUCGCCUCAGACGGACAACCCAAACGCGCAUAUGUUUAAAACUCGGUUUCCAACCUUUAAACAACUCAAAAGGUGUCUUUGGGACAGCCUUGGUUGGAACACGAUUUAAUAUAUACACUGUCGUCUUUAGUGCUUCAGCCCACAAGGAUUUAGGAAGAUUGGAGUUGCUAAGCAUACUCCGCACAAUGUCCAAUAAUGUUCGAUUCCUUCUUUCUGCCACACCAUUCUGAUUUGGAGAACCAGGCAUAGUGUAUUGGGCAACAAUCCCAUGUUCUUGAAGAAACUUUGCAAAAGGACCAGGUGCUUGUCCAUUCUCAGUAUAUCUGCCAUAGUAUUCUCCACCUCUAUCUAAUCUCACUAUUUUUAUUUGCUUGCCACAUUGGUUCUCAACUUCAGCCUUAAAGACUUUGAAGGCAUCCAAUGCUUCGUAUUUGUUAUGAAGCAAAUAAACAUUCAUAUAUCGUGAAUAAUCAUCUAUAAAGGUGAUAAAAUAUUUUUGACCACGUGCAUCCAUAUCUGGACAACAAAUAUCAGUAUGAAUUAUUUCUAAUAUGCUUGAACUCCUGUUAGCACCUUUCUUAGACAUGUUGGUCUGCUUACCCUUAAUGCAGUCCACACAAGUCUUACAGUCAGCAAAAUCUAGAGUAUUGAGUACCCCAUCUUUCACUAACCUUUUAAUCCUCUCAAUGGAGAUAUGUCCUAAUCUCCGGUGCCACAACAUAGAGGAAUUCGCAUUAAUAUUACACCUUUUAAUACCAGUUUGAACAUGCAUAGAACUAUAAGUGGCAUUAUUUUGUAAACCAAGAAGAUAAAGACCAUCAGACAAGAUACUAUUCCCAACACAUUCAGAAUUAUAAAAUAACUCAAAUGAUGUGUCUUUGAAAUUAAAGGAAUAUCCAAACGGUACAAGCCUUGAAAUAGAAAUCAAGUUUCGGGAAAAACUUGGUACAUAAAAAGUCCUUUCUAAUUUUAAAAUAAAGCCACUACUUAAAGUCAAAAUGCAAGUUCCAAUGACCUCCACAUGUGAGCCUAGCUUAUUGCCUGAUAAAAUGCUUUGCUCACUUCCCACUGGUUUCCUUAGGUUUUGCAUACCCUGUAAAGAAUUUGCAAUAUGAAUAGUAGAUCCAGAAUCAAUUCACCAGGUGUUAAUAAUAACACUAACCAUAUUAGAUUCAUAACAUACUAAUGAGAUUGAUUCACCUUUCUUCUCAAGCCAUUUCUGGAACCCGGGGCAAUUCUUCUUCAUGUGUCCCUUCUUCUUGCAAAAGAAACACUUUGCCACCUUCUUAAUAUCAGCUUGAGGUGGUAUUUUACCAUUCCCUUUCUGAUUAGCUUGAGACUUAAUUGCUUUGUUCUUCCCAUAAGCAGUAGUCAGCAAUGCACUCUCACCCAUCUCCAUCACAAGCCUUUCUUCUUCUUGAUAGACCAUUUAUCUUUAUGUGUGUUGUAGGAGAUCUUAAACGGCCCAUAUUCAUGUGGAAUGGUGUUCAAAAUGAAAUGCACUAGGAAGGACUCAGACAUAUCAACCUCUAGUUUCUUAAGUUGAGCUGAAAUAUCUCGCAUUUUCAUGAUGUACUCAUGCACACCUUUCACACGGGUGAGCUGAAGAGAAGAAAACUUCAUGAUCAAGGUGUUUGCUAAAGUCUUAUCUGAAGUGAUGAAUUGAUCAUCAAUGGCCUUAAGAAAGUCUCAGACCUUUUCAUGCUGGUCAACAGAACCACGUAUCCCAGCCGAGAUUUUGGUCUUAAUGAACAUCACGCUGAGCCAGUUGGAUCGCUCCCACCGCUCAUAUAGCGCAACGUCAGCUAGGUUACUUUCAUCAGUGAUUACAGGUGGUUCGUCUUUCCUUAUAGCAUAGUCUAUGUCCAUCCACCCCAAUUGUAGAAGAAUUCUCUCCUUCCAUAUCUUAUAGUUAUCUCCUUUGAGUUCAGGAACAUCACAUUGAAUAUCAGAAAAACUAAUAGUUUGAGAAGCUGCAAAAUCCAAAGGCUUUUGUCAAAAUUUGAGGCAUACUAAUCUUAAUUGUAUCUUUUACCAAUGUAAACAUACCAUAAAAUUGAAUCUUGUGACAUAAAAAUUGCCUGUGGGCUAAAUUUUUAAUUCAAUAAGAAACAAUUAAACCUUAUGUUAGAAUAAUCAAAUUACUUGCUCAAUAUUCAUGCUUUACGGGUACAACAUGAAAAUAAUUUAAUUUAUAUCGUAAAUAUUUACUUUAUGAUAAAAUCAACAAAUUAUACAUACAUCAUGGUGCCUGUGGGUAAAUCAUGAAAAAUAAUACGUCAUUUUAUCCCAAUUAAUUAUACAGAUAUAAUAAAAGUUCCUGUGAGAUAAAAUUCAUUAUAUAAGUAUAAUUAAUUACAAUAUUAUGUCUAAUUCCUUAUAUGAUCUUUAACCAACUUAAUAUAUAAUUUUAAUCAAAUAUAGAUGCUGUGGCUAAUCCAUAAUUAAUCAAAAUUAUAAAGAUCACUUAGACAUAAAACUUUAUUAUAUGAGAAUAAAUGGUAUUUUGCAUUUCAAAAUCAAGAUACAAUAUAAUUAUGAAUAAGAUUCUCAUAUAAUUUUAUAAUUGAAACAUAAUAUUAUGCAUUUAGAAUAAAAUUUUCCAGAAUAUAUUCAUGCAUAAAUUAAAUCAAAAUUUCAAAAAUUGUAAAGCAGAAUGAGUAUAUAAGGUAUUAAAAACGACUACAUAUAAGAAAAGCUUUACUGGUUUAGUGGUAUGCUUGUACUAUUGCAUUCUAGGAGUCAAGGGAAACCGAAAAUGGACAAGGCAGAGGCAAUUGUGGCUCUGAUACCAAAUGUUAGAAUAAAUCUCUUAACCCGUGAUAUUACAAACUAUAAAAGAAACACAGGUUAUUAAUAAAAUGCGAAAAUUAUAGAUCAAAUCAUACCUCCAGCCAUUGCUACGAAGAGUUUCUUGUUUUGGUUCUUCCAAGCUCUCUCUUCCUCUCUCUAGAUGGUGUAUAAGACUAAAUUCGAAGGGAUGAGCUCAGAGACCAAAUUCAUGUGCUUAUAUAGGCAUUCUACCAUCAAGAAUGCAUUUACCAGCCAUUACCACUCAUUAUUGGCUGUUACAAUUCAUUAGUGGCCAUUACCACCCAUUAUCAGUCAUUGAAUUUGGCUUCCAAAAUUGACGAGCGUUACAAAUUUUCAAAAUGCUAGGACCAAAUUAUUACAGUAACUACACUGGCUACAUCCAUUUUAGUAUAACCGAUGUAGAAUAUUAUAUUCCAUAUUACUUCAAAAUAGAACUGAUAAGGAAUAAGCUAUUCAACAUUGGUUUUUAAAGUAGUUGACGUGAAAUUGUUUCUUUCACUUACAAAUUCAAACUCCCUUUUACCGUCCACUCAUUCCUUUUUCAUUUCCCUUUCAGUCUCCUUCCUUGAAACCUUAUUAUGACACCACAUCCAAUUUCCAUUACUAUAUUUAUCGUUGAUAUCACAUCUUAUCACCCCACCACUACAAUUACAAUCACAAUCACACUAUUUUCUUUUGAUCUCCGUAUCGUUGUCACUUCGCAAAACCCUAUCACAAUAUUAUUGCCACCACCACAUCCUAUUUUCAUGGUCGCCACUAUCACAUUGUGUCACCCCUAAUUCCAUAACCACACCAUUUCCCUUACAAAUUCACUAUUGCUCUUGUUCGUCAAACCUUAAAAACCAUGCUAAGACACGGCCGCUGCCACAACCGUAGUUGUUACUGCAACCAUGACAUAAUUUUAAGUGCACAAAGAACUCUGGGCCAUUUUUAUUUUAUCAUUUUCUUCGACAAUUUGAUUCUUAUUUUUUUUCUUUUCUUAUUGGUUUUUGAAUCUUGAUUUGAAGGCUCCGUUUCCACCUCUCAUUGUCUUUUGCCACUAACGUCUCUAAAAACCAUGUUGUUAUAAUUAAUCAAAAGCUAAUGGAAUGGUCAAUUUAAUCUAACAUAGACACUAUAUGGGGAUCAAACUAAAGCUUUUUUUAACUUAAGGAACCAAAUUGAAAAAAUUAUAAAUAAAAGACAAAAUUUCUAUAGUCUAUAUAAAAUUAUAUGUUUAUUUUAUUUUCUUCUUUUGUUCAUAAUUUUCAAUUUUUUUUUUUACCUCAAAUAAAUCAUUGGCGCUGUUAAGAAAUAAAUUUGGUGAAGAGUAGAUUGGAAAAAUAAGUGAAAUUUGAGAUAAUAAGUCAUACGUAUACUUAGAAGUUACUGGACCAUAAAAAGUUAAAAUAUAUUUAUGUUAAUUGUAAUGCCAUACUAUUUUUUAUUAUUAUUCUUUUUAUGUUUUAAAUUUAUUUUUUAAAAUAACAAAAAUAUUACUCUCACAUAUUAUUUGUCGCACUGGUAGAUGCACUAACUGAACUGAAAGCACUGUGAAGUAAUGAAGCAUCAAAAUGAGAAUUCUCAAAUCAUAAUCUAUUUAUAUUCAGGGCAGUGUCUUGAGUCAUGUUUUGAGUCUUACUCUAAUAUAAUAUAUUGAAUUUAUAUUUUAUUCUCUUAAUUUUGUAAAUUCUAAAAUAAAUGAUUAAAUUUUCAUAAUUGAGAAAUUUCAACAUAUCAUUCUAUGGUUAUUCAUUCAAUCACACUAAAUAUAGUUGAUAUCAAAUUAAAUAUAAAAAAUAUAAUUUUGAAUUAAAAAUAUCUUUUCACAAUGACAAACAUGUAUAGUUUGAUAUUAACAAGACAUUACUUUCUUUGGUUAGUAUUUUUUUUUACCUGCAAUUUAAGGAGAAAAAAAACCUAAACCACUAAUUUGAUAUUAAUGGUCACUGAAACUUAAAUUUGUUUAUAUAUUAAUAGAAUAUUUUUAAUUAAUUCUUCUUUAAAAUUCUUAAAUAUUGGGAACAAUUUUAAAAUUGAAAUUGAUUUUAUACUUUAAAACUUUUCAAAUAUGCAGUGAGCAAAGGAAAAUAAAUUUAUUUCAUAUGUAUACGAAAUAGUAAAAAAAAAUUGAUCUUAUACUAAUUAAAUGUGUGAUCACAUCACUUUUAUUUUCAUCAAAAUAAUUUUUAUGAAUCAUACUAUUUUUUUAUAGAAUUUAAUCUCUAUAUUUAUUUUAAUUCCAUUUUUAUUUGAAUUUAAAGAAAAAGAUCAACUAAUUUUUCAUAUAACAUUUGAAAUGAACAAUAAGACUUCAAUAAUAUAAUACAAUUUAUGUCUGUACAUAUUUUUAAAUCGUAUGAUCUUAUGAAUAAAUAAACUACGAAUAAUAUAAUAAAAUUUAUCACUAGAUAAUUUAAAUUUAAAAUAAUAUUUUUAAAUGCAUAAAAGAAUUAAAGGAGACUUAAGGUUGAUUCCUAUUUUUUUUUUCUUUUUUAACCCUAUUGUUCAUCAGAAAAAAAUAUUGUCACUCAUUUGAAGUUCGAUCAAAAGAUAAAUAAAAUGUGAUAAAAAUUAUUUUAAUUAAAGGUUGAACUAAGGUAAUAUCUAACUUCAACACAAUAACCAUUGUUCAAUCAUGACUUGGUUGCUUCCUAGUUGGCCUUGCGAUAGCCACAACUCUAUUUAUAAAUAUAAGCUAAAUAUAUAAAAGAAAUUUCACAUUGCAGCGUUGACAUAAGUUGUCUAGACUCUAGGUAACUUAAACUUCAUUUUCAUUAAGCCAACCAAACUUUUAGAACGAGUUAUUUUUCCAUAGACCAUUCUCUUUGAUCUUUCUCUUCAAUGUCAAUUUUUUUUUUAAAUAUUUAACAUAAAUGUUGGUUAUUUAGGAGUCAUAGUUUUUAUUUUAGGUGCAUUAUAUUUAUGAAACAUAUUAGUUUUGAUUAAUUAAGGACUUUAAAUAAUUAAGAAUCAUAUUCUACAUGUUAUUUCAUUGAAACUAUUCUAAAACAUCAUUAGUGAAAUAUGUCCAACCUAAUUUUUAAGAAGAAACGAAAAUGUAAUAAAAAAAUAUUUUGAAGGCAAAUAAAUUAGAUCCUUUCAAACAUACAUUGUAAUCAUGAUAAAAAAAUGAUUUCUUAUUUCUUACACAAUUCAAUCAUGUGAAAGGAGGAGAUUUGUAUAAAUUAAAACCUAGUCAAUUAUUUUCUUUAUUAAAAAAGAGUUAAAAGUAAAAAGUUCAAGUCAAAUUGACUUAAAUUCUUGAUUAAGAGACACAAACUUUAAUAUUCUAAAUACCAUUAAACGAAAAAUUUACAAUAAAAUUAUAAAUAAAAACAAUUAUUUUUAUCAUUCUAUGUAGUUUUCUUUAACUCUUUGAUACAUUUUAUUACUAUUACUCUUUUACAAAAAAUAUUGUGAACCAUAUUAUCUAGUUUUUUUUUUCUUCUUAACACGAUGUCUCUGGUCUACACAUGGUACAGUACAAGGUAACCACUGAAUAUAUAAGAAAAAAAACUGAAUAAAAAAAAUAGUAACCACUACUUUUCAAUUCAAAAAAUCAUUUGAGUGUAUAUUAGUUCAAAAGUACUGGUGCAAUAAACAAAUGAGUUCAUUUCAGUGUAUACAACAACAACAACAACGCCUUAUCCCACUAGGUGGGGUCGGCUACAUGGAUCAACUUCCGCCAUAAUGUUCUAUCAAGUACCAUAUUUCUAUCCAAAUCAUUAAGUUCGGGCCCUAAGCCUUCAUUCGGUCUUAUAGUCUUUUUGGGUCUUCCUCUGCCUCGAAUUGUUUGCCUUCUCUCCAUCUGGUCUACUCUCCUCACUACAGAGUCUACCGGUCUUCUCUCUACAUGCCCAAACCACCUAAGUCUAUUUUUCACCAUCUUAUCUACAAUAGGCGCUACUCCAACCCUCUCUCUAAUAGCUUCGUUUCUAAUUUUAUCCUGUCGAGUCUUAACACACAUCCACCGCAACAUCCUCAUCUCCGCUACACCUACUUUAUUCUCAUGUUGGCUCUUGACCGCCCAACAUUCUGUUCCGUACAAAAUCGCCGGUCUUACCGCAGUUCGAUAAAACUUUCCCUUUAGCUUGAUCGGUACCUUUGUAUCACAUAACACCCCCGAUGCUUUUCUCCAUUUCAUCCAUCCUGCUUGAAUGCGAUGAUUCACAUCCCCUUCAAUUUCUCCAUCAUCCUGUAUUACAGACCCAAGAUAUUUAAACCGUGUGACUUGAGGGAUAAUAUGGUCUCCUAUUUUCACCUCUGAGUUAGAAACCCUCCUUCUUUUGUUGAACUUACAUUCCAUAUACUCCGAUUUGCUUCUGCUUAGGCGAAAGCCAUGUGUUUCUAGAGCUCGUCUCCAAGUUUCCAACCUCUCAUUCAACUCCUCCCUCGACUCUCCAAGGAGGACUAUGUCAUUUGCAAAAAGCAUGCAUCUCGGCGCUAUCUCUUGGAUUUGUUCCGUGAGGACAUCCAGAAUUAAGGUAAAAAGGUAGGGGCUAAGGGUUGACCCUUGAUGCAAACCAAUUGUGAUGGGAAAAUCGUCUGACUCUCCACCCUGUGUCCUAACACUAGUCGAUACCCUAUCAUACAUAUCUUGGAUAGCUCGAAUAUAUGCAACCCUAACCCCUUUCUUCUCUAGAGCUUUCCACAAAAUCUCUCUAGGCACUUUAUCAUACGCUUUCUCCAAGUCAAUAAAAAUCAAGUGCAAGUCUUGUUGGUCCAUGCGAUAUUGCUCCAUCACCCGCCGUAAUAAAUAAAUCGCUUCCAUGGUCGACCUUCCCGGCAUGAAACCAAAUUGAUUCUCAGUAACUUGAGUCUCCUUUCUUAAUCUCCGUUCGAUCACUCUUUCCCAUAAUUUCAUGGUAUGACUCAUGAGCUUGAUUCCCCUAUAAUUUGCACAAUUUUGUAUAUCCCCCUUAUUCUUAUAGAUUGGCACUAACGUGCUUCUCCUCCAUUCCUCCGGCAUGUGUUUUGACCUCAUAAUUUCAUUAAAGAGUUUGGUGAGCCACUCAAGACCUCUAUCUCCAAGAGUUUUCCACACUUCAAUAGGUAUGUUGUCUGGCCCCACCGCCUUACCGUUACUCAUUCUUUUCAACGCUUCCUUUACUUCCUGUUUCUGAAUUCGACGAUAGUACUUAUAGUUCCGGUCCUCUUCUCUUGUGUCUAGACUGCUAGAGUCAUAUCCAUAUCCAUCAUUAAAUAAGUUGUGGAAAUACGCCUUCCACCUUUCCUUGAUAUCUUUUUCAUGCACUAAGACUUUGCCUUCUUCAUCCUUAACACACUUUACUUGAUCCAAAUCUCUAGUCUUCCUCUCUCUACCCUUAGCAAGCCUAUAUAUAGAUCUUUCUCUGUCCCUAGUUCCUAGAGCUUGGUAUAGUCCGUCAAAAGCUUGGGCUCUUACCUCACUCACCGCCUUUUUGGUUUCCUUUCUAGCUAUCUUAUACUUAUCCCAAGUUUCAGAAUUUCUACACCUAGACCACUCCUUGAAACACUCCUUUUUUACUCUAACUUUGUUCUGAACACUUUCAUUCCACCACCACGAUUCUUUACCCCUAGGUCCAAAACCUCUAGAUUCACCCAACGUCUCUUUAGCCACUUUAAUAAUCUCUUGGGACAUCUUGUUCCACAUAUCAUUUGCACUUCCUUGUGAUUGUGCACCCCAUCCCUCCCAUAUCUUUUGUUGGAAGAUUCCUUGUUUCUCACCCUUCAAGUGCCACCAUUUGAUCCUUGGUGCUACCAUAGGACUUCUUCUCUUUGCCCUAUCUCUAAUUCUUACAUCCAUAACCAAAAAUCUAUGUUGGGUAGUCAAGCUCUCUCCCGGGAUAACUUUACAGUUCAAGCAAUACUUCCUAUCAGACUUCCUGAUAAGGAAGAAAUCUAUCUGAGAACAUGUCCCUCCACUUUUGUAAGUGAUAAGAUGUUCCUCUCUUUUCUUAAACCAUGUAUUGGCUAUAGAAAGAUCCAAUGCCUCCGAAAACUCCAAGAUGGAUUUACCCUCCCCAUUCAUCUCCCCUAGGCCAAAACCCCCAUGCACCCCCUUAAAACCUCUAGCCACGCUACCUACAUGUCCAUUGAGAUCCCCUCCUAGGAAAACUUUCUCUCCUUGGGGUAUAUCCUGAAGUACCCCUUCUAGAUCCUCCCAAAAUUUUACCUUAAAGUGUUCUGCUAACCCAACCUGAGGUGCGUACCCACUAAUAACAUUAAAGGUGUCCUGUCCCACUACCAAUUUUAAGGCUAUGAUACGAUCUCCUACUCUUCUUACAUCCACGACAUCCUUCUUCCACUCCUUGUCCACAAUAAUCCCUACCCCAUUUCUUGAUCUGAUUUUUCCCGUAUACCACAGCUUAAAUCCCGAGUUGUCUAAUUCUUUCGCUUUUUCACCUGUCCACUUAGUUUCUUGUAGGCACAUAAAAUUGAUCUUCCUCCCCACCAUAACAUCCACUAUUUCCAUAGAUUUUCCAGUAAGUGUGCCUAUAUUCCAUGUGCCAAAGCGAAUCCUCCUGUCAUGAACUAGCUUCUUUACCCACACCCGUUCACGAAAAUGUGGGAACCCUUGCUUACUUUUCACUACAUCCAGGCGGCGAUGCAGCGGCCCUUGCUCUUUUGACACUGUACUCGAGCCAUACAGCGCGUUGCUUCCGGGCAACGACCUAGCAUUCACAUUAUUACGUAAUUGAUCCAUGUCGUAGAGAUUCGACAAAGUUUUACAUUGGCUGUCGAAAGCCUAACACAACCCUCUCCUUUUAUCCGGGCUUGGGACCGGCUAAGAAUAGCAAAGCUAACCUAGGCAGGAUUAGUUCAUUUCAGUGUAUAUUAGUUCCUUUUUCUUUUUUUUUUCUUUCUCUGACUGCAUUUGAAAGACAAACUAGAUGCACUGCCACACUUAUUUAACUGAAAAAUACAAACGGGUUGCGCAUUUAUGUAAAACCCGAACACAAACUUGUGAGAAAUAUAAAGUAGGGGAAUACAACUUAUUUAUAUACAGGUGUGUAGGAAACAGACGAAUCCUAUCUUUUUUGCCAUGUCACCUACGUGUUUUUGUGGUAUAUAUAUCAUGACAUGAUCAUCAUCUUAACAAAUGGAGCACCUUUCUAAU